rnacentral:lncRNA from 1 species
UUUCCAUCACAACAAUUCACUCUUCAGAGUUAUGAAAAGAAACAAGGAGAUAGUUGGAUAAACAAAGCUACAAGCAUCACACUAUGCCAACAGGAUUGAAUGCCAAAACUGUAAUGUAAUUUCGAGAGAAAAAAUAAGAUCAAGACCAAUACGCAUUGAGAUUGCGAAUGGUACUCGACUGCAAACAUACAGCCUUAACCCCACUGCUACGUUUAUUUCCUUAUUACAACUUAUUAAAAACAACCGAGACAAAAUUUCUACCGCAACAGAUCAGCAAAAUGAAAUAAUCCAAUCGGAGAAAAAUACAAACAUCAUAGCAUGACUUGAGUGGUUACCGUAAGGUCACAAUGUGUUGGCUGUUGGUAGCUGAC